rnacentral:lncRNA from 1 species
CUCUUUAAACAAAUGAUCCUCAGCUUGGUUGCCCCAGAAAAACACCAGCAUCUGAUGGCUUCUCCAUCAAGACUUCAAUCUCAAAGGGCAAUACUGUGCGGCAAAAGAAGAGCUGGCUCCUGGAGGACUUCUGGGGCCCCAGGCAUGGAUCAAUGUUUGCAUCAGAAAAGAAAGCCUGUCAGCAAUGGAGGUGCUGGAGGAUUUCUGGAAGGGGGGGGCCUCAUUCAAGACCACCAAGGGACUGCUGACUGUUCUCGUUCAUGACGCCUCUCUUCAAGGAAAUUGACCCUCCCAGAGUGCAAGACGGAGAAAAAGGUUCUUAAGAACUUCCCCUGGAAAUCACCACUGAAUGGAUGCCAGGCAAUUCUAGAAUCUCCACUCUUUGGUUUUUUGGGCCCUUGGAUGGAUGAGAAGUGAUGUGCAGAUCUGAUGGGAAAAAUGGCAGAGACCACAGCUUCUCUCCUAAACCCUCAUUCAUUGCCCAUCGGACAAUUCUCCUGUUUCCGAUCCUGUAAGGUCACAAGGAUUUCUCAUUUCAGGUAGACCAGAAAAGAAGCCACUGAUGGAAUGCUGCAAGAAGGGGUUUACCAUGCGGUGUGAUUUCUGGGACCCCUUCUUCCCUGUUGAAAAUAUUUCACAGGCCCCCAGGACCUCCCCCAAAAGACAAGGGCAGAAACCAAAGAAAAUGCACUGUUCCAAUUUUGUCCAGGCUGCCUGUGGAAUGAGAAACCCAUGAGAAAGUUAUUGAGACUUCAGUUUUCUAUUCCUCUCCUUAUCCGGCCUCAUUACCUCCCCAACCCCUGAGAGAAAAAAUAAAUAAUUCACAAACAAAGGACGAGGGUGUGGUGGAUUGAGAGCAGGUUUGCUUGGUGACAGGAGGACUCUGUAGAGGGGGUCUGUUGGGAGGUGAGCAGGAGGGAGUGGCUGCUCCAGAGCCCACAGUUCUGUCCAGAAAGGUGGAAGUAACACAGGCAUCAUGAAGGCUUCUGGAGGCAGGGGCUGAGCCCUCUCACCGCAAGGACCACAGAAGCCAGGGCUGGACUCCUGGCCCGGGAAGCUCCAGUCCCAUGGACUCUAUCCCACUCCUUUGUCUCUUUCUCCCUCCUGUGCCUGCCCCGCCUGCCCCUUGCUCUGUCUUCAUCCUGGGAAGCCAGCUGCAGCAUGUAGGAGAGAAGGGCUCUGUCACGGCUGUCUCUAGUGUGUUAUUGUUAGUGUUACAUUACAAAUCCCGUUUCCAUGCCAGGGUCCCUCGGGGGUCAUAACCAGGAGAGGCCAUGACCCUGUCAAUAAACAGAACCCCA